GUGCUUGCUUCAGAAGCACAUAUACUAAAAUUGGAAUGAUACAGAAAAGAUUAGCAUGACCCCUUCGUAAGGGGAGAAUACAUUGUAGCCAUCAUCUCCCUUUACCUUU